rnacentral:rRNA from 1 species
GACGAACGCUGGCGGCGUGCUUAACACAUGCAAGUCGAACGGAAAGGCCCUUCGGGGUACUCGAGUGGCGAACGGGUGAGUAACACGUGGGUGAUCUGCCCUGCACUUUGGGAUAAGCCUGGGAAACUGGGUCUAAUACCGGAUAGGACCACGGCAUUCAUGUGCUGUGGUGGAAAGCUUUUGCGGUGUGGGAUGGGCCCGCGGCCUAUCAGCUUGUUGGUGGGGUAAUGGCCUACCAAGGCGACGACGGGUAGCCGGCCUGAGAGGGUGACCGGGCACACUGGGACUGAGAUACGGCCCAGACUCCUACGGGAGGCAACAGUGGGGAAUAUUGCACAAUGGGCGCGAGCCUGAUGCAGCGACGCCGCGUGAGGGAUGACGGCCUUCGGGUUGUAAACCUCUUUCGCCAGGGACGAAGCGUAAGUGACGGUACCUGGAGAAGAAGGACCGGCCAACUACGUG